rnacentral:rRNA from 1 species
AUUGAACGCUGGCGGCAGGCUUAACACAUGCAAGUCGAGCGGAGAUGAGGUGCUUGCACCUUAUCUUAGCGGCGGACGGGUGAGUAAUGCUUAGGAAUCUGCCUAUUAGUGGGGGACAACAUUCCGAAAGGAAUGCUAAUACCGCAUACGUCCUACGGGAGAAAGCAGGGGAUCUUCGGACCUUGCGCUAAGAGAUGAGCCUAAGUCGGAUUAGCUAGUUGGUGGGGUAAAGGACUACCAAGGCGACGAUCUGUAGCGGGUCUGAGAGGAUGAUCCGCCACACUGGGACUGAGACACGGCCCAGACUCCUACGGGAGGCAGCAGUGGGGAAUAUUGGACAAUGGGGGGAACCCUGAUCCAGCCAUGCCGCGUGUGUGAAGAAGGCCUUAUGGUUGUAAAGCACCUUAAGCGAGGAGGAGGCUACUGAGACUAAUACUCUUGGAUAGUGGACGUUACUCGCAGAAUAAGCACCGGCUAACUCUGUGCCAGCCGCCGCAGUAACAC